GCAGAGCACUCCGUACGGGAGGCAGCAGUGGGAAUAUUGCACAAUGGGCGCAAGCCUGAUGCAGCCAUGCCGCGUGUAUGAAGAAGGCCUUCGGGUUGUAAAGUACUUUCAGCAGUGAGGAAGGUGGGUAUGUUAAUAGCAUAUUCAUUUGACGUUAGCUGCAGAAGAAGCACCGGCUAACUCCGUGCCAGCAGCCGCGGUAAUACGGAGGGUGCGAGCGUUAAUCGGAAUUACUGGGCGUAAAGCGCAUGCAGGUGGUUUGUUAAGUCAGAUGUGAAAGCCCGGGGCUCAACCUCGGAAUUGCAUUUGAAACUGGCAAACUAGAGUACUGUAGAGGGGGUAGAAUUUCAGGUGUAGCGGUGAAAUGCGUAGAGAUCUGAAGGAAUACCGGUGGCGAAGGCGGCCCCCUGGACAGAUACUGACACUCAGAUGCGAAAGCGUGGGGAGCAAACAGGAUUAGAUACCCUGGUAG
rnacentral:rRNA from 1 species